GCGUUCGUAGCUCAGUUGGAUAGAGCGACGGACUUCGAAUCCGUAGGCCGCAGGUUCGAGUCCUGUCGGACGCA
rnacentral:tRNA from 1 species